AAGACUAUAGACCUGCGGAGUACCUGCGGAAGGAUCAUUACAUGGCGGAGGAGGUGGGCACCUAGUAAAAACAAAACCCUAGGUGUGUUGCCUACCACGCUUUCUACCCUUGUCUAUUUGCACCUUUUGUCGUUCCCUCGGUGGGUCUUGAACCUGCCGGCGGCAACUUUCAAAAACCUUUUGUAGUUAGUAUCUAAUUCUUCUGAUCAAAUAUUCAAUCGUUACAACUUUCAACAACGG
rnacentral:misc_RNA from 1 species